AUUGAACGCUGGCGGCAUGCUUUACACAUGCAAGUCGAACGGUAACAGGGAGCUUGCUCCGCUGACGAGUGGCGAACGGGUGAGUAAUGCGUCGGAACGUGCCGAGUAGUGGGGGAUAACGCAUCGAAAGGUGUGCUAAUACCGCAUACGAACUGAGGUUGAAAGUGGGGGACCUUCGGGCCUCACGCUAUUCGAGCGGCCGACGUCUGAUUAGCUAGUUGGUGAGGUAAAGGCUCACCAAGGCGACGAUCAGUAGCGGGUCUGAGAGGAUGAUCCGCCACACUGGGACUGAGACACGGCCCAGAACCCUACGGGAGGCAGCAGUGGGGAAUUUUGGACAAUGGGCGCAAGCCUGAUCCAGCCAUGCCGCGUGUCUGAAGAAGGCCUUCGGGUUGUAAAGGACUUUUGUCAGGGAGGAAAUCCCCAGCGUUAAUACCGCUGGGGGAUGACGGUACCAGGAGAAUAAGCACCGGCUAACUCUGUGCCAGCAGCCGCCGUAACAC
rnacentral:rRNA from 1 species